AUUGAACGCUGGCGGCAGGCCUAACACAUGCAAGUCGAACGCGUGGCGGACGGGUGUGUAAUGUCCGGGAAACUGCCUGAUGGAGGGGGAUAACUCCUGUAAACGGUAGUUCAAAUCCCACACCCUCAUAUGUGCCCCGAUGGGAGUAGCUGGUUGGUGGGGUAACGGCUCACCAAGGCGACGCUCCCUAGCUGGUCUGAGAGGAUGACCAGCCACACUGGAACUGAGACACGGUCCAGACUCCUACGGGAGGCAGCAGUGGGGAAUAUUGCACAAUGGGCGAAAGCCUGAUGCAGCCAUGCCGCGUGUAUGAAGAAGGCCUUCGGGUUGUAAAGUACUUUCAGCGGGGAGGCGUUACCCGCAGAAGAAGCACCGGCUAACUACGUGCCAGCAGCCGCGGUAAUAC
rnacentral:rRNA from 1 species